UCGUUACUGUGACCGAUCCCCCCACUACUCUUUCAGCAAUGCGAUACAAUAGCCCUUUCUGCCAUGUAUACCGCUCCCCCUCUAACCCGGCCUGAUCUGUGCUUACCCUGUCCCUGUAUACCUGUAGCGUGGGGUCUAACUUUACCUCCGCCUCAAAUUCAGUUGGGGUAUCCCAGGUCAUACGUGCCGUGUGGGGGCACUGUCUCUUACCUGAGCCUCAGAGUGUGCUGGUGGAACCGUGGUGUGAGCCUGCUGCCGGGUGGUCACUGGAUGUGCUUCCCGGUGUGGAGCCUGGGGUAUAAAAGCAGAGGUCAUCAGGCCCAAGUCAUUCCCUAGUACAACAUCCACG